rnacentral:lncRNA from 13 species
AUGGAUUAUGGCUACUCCCACCUGCAUGUCAGAGUGGUAGGCUUCACAUGGGAUUAUAGCUACUCCCACCUACAUGUCAGAGUGGUAGGCUUCACAUUGGAUUAUAGCUACUCCCACCUACAUGUCGGAUUGGUAGGCUUCACAUGGGAUUAUAGCUACUCCCACCUACAUGUCGGAGUAGCACCGGUGGUAUUGGAGGUGGACGGGGAGAUCGAGCGGGCGUUACGGUUGGAACCUGCAACCCCCAAGUGUCCAGCAGGUGUUCAGUUCGUGCCGCUUGGUGUCCGUGAUCGGUUGAUUCGAUGGGCCCAUACACUACCCUCUUCGGGUCCUCCUGGUAUCGAGAGGACAGUGCAGAGUGUUAGGGGGAGGAAUUCCCACCGCCACACCUCUACUAACAUGUCACCGUUCCAGUGCGUGUUGGGCUACCAGCCGGUCCUGGCUCCAUGGCAUCAGAGCCAGACCGAAGCUCCUGCGGUGGAGGAAUGGGUGCAGUGCUCGAAGGACACCUGGAAAGCCGUCCAGGAAUCAUUAAAACAAGCUAGUGGAAGGCAGAAGAGGAGCGCUGACCAGCACCGCAGUGAAGCCCCCAUGUUCGCACACGGGGACCGGGUCUGGCUCUCGACCCAAAACCUGCCCCUCCGCCUGCCCUGUCGGAAGCUGGGGCCGCAGUGUGUGGGGCCAUUUAAAGUCCUGAGGAGGAUAAACAAGGUGUGUUAUAGGUUACAGCUUCCUCCUUACUAUGUAUUAAACCCUUGUUUCAUGUGUCUCUCCUCAGGCCGGUGGUAGCUGGUCCCCUGCAAGAAGGUGAGGUGCCGGAGGUGCCGGAGGUCCCUCUGGACAUCGAGGGCUCCCCGGCGUACACUAUACGCUCUAUUCUGGACUCUAGACACCGGGUGAGGGGCCUACAGUACCUCGUGGACUGGGAAGGGUACGGUCCUGAGGAGAGGUGCUGGGUACCAGUGGGGGACAUUUCGGACUUAUUGGUUGCACCUGUCCCUUAUUUUGUUUUUUGAUUUAUGUCUAUUUAAGCCUGUUAGGCCCGCCUAGGUUUGUGCGGGAUUAUUUUCUGUUAGUCAGGGUGUGUGUGUGUUUGUGUUCCUGUCCGUUUGUGCCCUGUGUUGGGUCGGACUAUUUUUCUCUCUAUUUAUCGCCUAUGAUUUUGGGCGUUCGUUUGGGAAUCCCAAUAAAGACGGUUUUCCCCAGUAUCCUCUGCUCUCUGCAAUUGACUCUGCACCCACCCCUCCAGGCGAUUGUGACACCUUAAUCCAAUUCCAGAUACAGCCACCCUGGAGUUAAUGUACCCCUCCGGACCCCAGAAACCACAGGUGGUCGAUGACAACUAUAUCAUGUUACAGUGGGUUAAAUGUUGAAGCAGAGAAUAGGGGUUUCCUCUAAAAUAACGUAAAUCCUCAAUUUUACACCUACAACACAUUUAGGGGAAAUUUGGAAAAUAUGUGUGACUUCAAAUUCUUCACAUUAUCCUCUUAAGUUUAUCCAAUAUUGGUACUAAUCUCUUUUGGAUGACAUACUGGUUGUCGUUGUUAUUGUGACGAUAUCUCAGCAGGUUCUCAGAGGAAAAAAUGAAUAGCAACUUCUCAGGCUAAGGAGAACAACUAGAACACAGAACAAAGUGAGAGGCAAUAGAGCUGAAGAGAGAGAGAGAGAGAGAGAGACCAGUGUGUAGGAACUAGUGUUUGAUGAGGGAGUAGGCCAGACAAUGUCCAUAAUCCAUAAGGUAAGCCUCUCUGGGAGCACUACCUCCACCGCAGAGCUAUUGAAAAGGCAGUCUAUAGCAGUAAUGAAAGAAUUGCAAUAAUAAUGCAAUUAUGCAGCUGGGUGAGUCAGCUGGGCCUCUGGCACUUUCUUCACUGAGCUGCUACUGCACUGACCUGGUUUCUGUUCCUUCUCUCUCUCCCCUCCUGCAAACACAGGGCCAAGGUGGAAGACAGGACAUCAAUAAUAAACCCACUGUCGCCACCAGCCCCCCCAGCUGUUCACCACAGAGAUGGAGGAUUCUGCUCCUUAUUGCUAUCCUCUUCUGUUAUUGUUUAGCCCUGAAACAAAGUGGCAUUAUGAGAAAUAGGGAAGCUACAAGGCGUUGCUUGGCGCAGUGUCAGGGACCGGAGUUAGUACAUUGUUGAUGUCCUUGGUUUGGAAAUGAGGGCUGCUCUGUGCUGUCCUGUCUAGGUCUGAUUUUUAAGUUUGGGGGAAAUCAUUUUUACCAUAAAAAAAGCACCUUUAGAAUAAAGCAUUACAUGCAUCAUUGCAUUUACGGUCACUUUUGAGAAUGGUGUUUUCGCGCAAAUUGAUUGCAUUUUGGAACAUUUGCCGUAUGCGCAUUGCUGUGUUUAUAGUGUGAAGAAAUAGCCUAGUAGUUUAUCAACAUUUAAAGCCAAACGUUCUGAUCUGUUCCAUCAGCCUCAUUGCCUCAUUUUUUCAUCAGCCUCAUUUUUUAUGCCAGUGUGGUUGUAUUAAUUUAGGAUCUAUCGCAUCCAACAACUGUCCCCUUUAGGCCUCCUCAUCUUGGCUGUCGAUAAGUAAAUGUGGACAUUUUUUCUAACGCCUCUGAAUUCAAUAAGAAGGACACGUGCAGUUGCAUCCCUGAUGGGUCUGUCUUCACUUUGAAGCUGAGAUGCUGAGACGCAUUGCUUUCUGUUUGGGGUAUUAGGAUGGGUUUCUGUAUAGCACUGCUGAUGUAAAAAGUGCUAUAUAAAUACAGUUGAUUGAUUGAUUUAUUGACCCGAUCACAUGACAGACAUUGGCUAAUAAGUAUGUAGAUAUCUGAGAGAGCCAAUUGAGUGAGAGGUGCUUUGGAGCACGACGAUUGGCAGCCAGGACAAGGGAAUUCUAAUUAUUACAAGGGCAUAAUGGACACUUUGGCCAUAAAAGGCAUGGACUUUUGGGGGGGGGGGGGGACAUUACUGUCACAUUACUGUCAUUACUGUUACUGUCACACAAGAUGCCUGGUGAUUCCUGGUGAGAAUAUUAUCAAGUGGUUGUCAAAUUGUGAAUGAGAGACUGAUGAAGUGUGUACAGCCUGAGCAAAAAAACUAAGCUGAGCUCAUGCCUUUCAUGCAACGUUUUUCAAAUCAUCUUUAGAGUCACAUCAUGCAGUCUUAGAAUGUAUUAAAAAUCAAAUCAAAAACACAAUGUUUGCAUCACAAUUAGGGGGGUGGCUGGUAGCCUAGUGGUUAGAGCGUUGGGCCAGUCACCGAAAGUUUGCUGGAUUGAAUCCCCGAGCUGACAAGGUAAAAAUCUGUCGUUCUGAGCAAGGCAGUUACCCCACUGUUCCCUGAGGAUGUGGAUUAAGGCAGCCCCCAACACCUGAUUCAGAGGUGUUGGAUCCCCCUUUAUCUUAUGUUGCAUAAAUACCUAGGUUUCUUUUUUAUUUCACCUUUAUUUAACCAGGCAAGUCAGUUAAGAACAAAUUCUUAUUUUCAAUGACAGCCUAGGAACAGUGGGUUAACUGCCUGUUCAGGGGCAGAACAACAGAUUUGUACCUUGUCAGCUCGGGGAUUUGAACUUGCAACCUUUCGGUGACUGGCCCAAAGCUCUAAACACUAGGCUACCCUGCCGCCCCUUUGUUGAUAACCACAUGUGCAUACUCCCUCAGAAAUUAUUUGGAGAAAAUACAUGGACAACUCAGAGUCUGCUGUUCUUCUGAAAUAUAAUACAUUUUCUUAAUAUCAUGUUUCUUUAGNNNNNNNNNNGGAGGUAAAAAGUUAUGUUAUGAGGUGGAGGUAACAGUAAUGUUGUGAGGUGGAGGUAACAGUAAUGUUGUGAGGUGGAGGUAACAGUAAUGUUGUGAGGUGGAGGUAACAGUAAUGUUGUGAGGUGGAGGUAGCAGUAAUGUUAUGAGGCGGAGGUAAAAAGUUAUGUUAUGAGGUGGAGGUAACAGUUAUGUUGUGAGAUGAAGGUAACAGUAAUGUUGUGAGGUGAAGGUAACAGUAAUGUGACAAGGAGGUAACAGCAAUGUGACAAGGAGGUAACAGUAUUAUUGUGAGAUGUUGGUAACAGUAAUAUUGUGAGAUGUUGGUAACAGUGUUAUUGUGAGAUGUUGGUAACAGUAAUAUUGUGAGAUGUUGGUAACAGUAANNNNNNNNNNCUAUACCUCUACCUCUACCUCUACCUCCACCUAUACCUCCACCUAUACCUCUACCUAUGCCUCUACCUCUACCUCUAUCCCUACCUCUACCUCUACCUCUACCUAUACCUCUACCUAUACCUCUAUCUAUACCUCUACCUCUACCUCUACCUAUACCUCUACCUAUACCUCUACCUAUACCUAUACCUCUAUCUAUACCUCUACCUCUACCUCUACCUAUACCUCUAUCUAUACCUCCACCUCUACCUCUACCUAUACUUUAACCAAUACCUCUAGCCCACCACCAAAGGUCCUCAGCAUUCAGCUCAUCAUGGCACUAAUGA